rnacentral:rRNA from 1 species
UACGAAGGGGGCUAGCGUUGCUCGGAAUUACUGGGCGUAAAGGGCGCGUAGGCGGGUCGUUUAGUUAGAGGUGAAAGCCCAGGGCUCAACCCUGGAAUAGCCUUUAAUACUGGCGGCCUUGAGUAUGGCAGAGGUGUGUGGAACUCCGAGUGUAGAGGUGAAAUUCGUAGAUAUUCGGAGGAACACCAGUGGCGAAGGCGACACACUGGGCCAUUACUGACGCUGAGGCGCGAAAGCGUGGGGAGCAAACAGG